rnacentral:rRNA from 1 species
AUGACACCUGCAUCUGUUUUGGAAGUAUCUGUGAGUCAUGGGGACUCAAUAACCUCACACCCUCGCGAUCAAAACUAUUUAAGUUUAAAGGUAGGAAAGGGUAGUGAGGUGGAGCUGCAGCAAGCACUAGCAUAUAUGGUGGCUAACUUACGCAAAAGAGAGCGAGAAGAGAAGCAAAGCACAGUCGAGAAGCUAAUAAGUGAUCAAGAAGUGAUCCUGAAGCUACUUACGUUCAAGCAUAACACGAGACCGUGUUCUCUUCCCGGCCGCCGCCGAAAAGAGACCAUCACGGCUACACACACGAUUGAUUCAUUUUAA